rnacentral:rRNA from 1 species
CCGGCGACCGGCGCACGGGUGAGUAACACGUAUGCAACCUGCCCUCUUCAGGGGGACAACCUUCCGAAAGGGAGGCUAAUCCCGCGUAUAUCGGUUUCGGGCAUCCGAGAUCGAGGAAAGAUUCAUCGGAAGAGGAUGGGCAUGCGGCGCAUUAGCUAGACGGCGGGGUAACGGCCCACCGNGGCGACGAUGCGUAGGGGUUCUGAGAGGAAGGUCCCCCACACUGGUACUGAGACACGGACCAGACUCCUACGGAAGGCAGCAG